rnacentral:rRNA from 1 species
GUCUACAGCCAUGCCACCCUGAACAUGCCCGAUCUCGUCUGAUCUCGGAAGCUAAGCAGGGUCGAGCCUGGUAAGUAGUUGGAUGGGAGACCACAUAGGAAGACAGGUGCUGUAGGUG